ACGCCGCGUGAGUGAUGAAGGUUUUCGGAUCGUAAAGCUCUGUUGUUAGGGAAGAACAAGUGCGAGAGUAACUGCUCGCACCUUGACGGUACCUAACCAGAAAGCCACGGCUAACUACGUGCCAGCAGCCGCGGUAAUACGUAGGUGGCAAGCGUUGUCCGGAAUUAUUGGGCGUAAAGGGCUCGCAGGCGGUUUCUUAAGUCUGAUGUGAAAGCCCCCGGCUCAACCGGG
rnacentral:rRNA from 1 species